rnacentral:rRNA from 1 species
GAUGAACGCUAGCGGCAGGCCUAACACAUGCAAGUCGAGGGGCAGCACAGAAACAGCAAUGUUUUGGUGGCGACCGGCGGACGGGUGCGUAACGCGUAUGCGACCUACCUUUAACAGGGGGAUAACGGAGAGAAAUUUCCACUAAUACCCCAUAACAUCGAUCAAGGCAUCUUGAUUGGUUGAAAACUCCGGUGGUUAAAGAUGGGCAUGCGUUGUAUUAGGUAGUUGGUGAGGUAAUGGCUCACCAAGCCUACGAUACAUAGGGGGACUGAGAGGUUAGCCCCCCACACUGGUACUGAGACACGGACCAGACUCCUACGGGAGGCAGCAGUGAGGAAUACUGGUCAAUGGGGGCAACCCUGAACCAGCCAUGCCGCGUGCAGGAAGACGGCUCUAUGAGUUGUAAACUGCUUUUAAACAGGGAUAAAGCACAGUAUGUAUACUGUGUUGAAGGUACUGUAAGAAUAAGGAUCGGCUAACUCCGUGCCAGCCGCCGCAGUAA